rnacentral:rRNA from 1 species
AACGUAGGAGACAAACGUUAUCCGGAGUUACUGGGCGUAAAGGGCGUGUAGGCGGUUAGUUACGUCUGGCGUGAAAGCUCUCGGCUAAACCGGGAGAGGUCGUUGGAUACUGGCAAACUAGAGGACGGUAGAGGCGUGUGGAAUUCCGGGUGUAGUGGUGAAAUGCGUAGAGAUCCGGAGGAACACCAGUGGCGAAGGCGACACGCUGGGCCGUACCUGACGCUAAAGCGCGACAGCAUGGGGAGCAAACGGG